GGUCGGUGAGUAGUCAAAGUCUUACGCUAAAUUUCAGAUAUUUUUGCCUGGAAACCCUGGCUCUCUACCUUCUCAGCUUUUUUCCAUCCGUUUCUUCCAUUUCUCUCUAAUCUAUAUCUUCCAAACCCCAAACAAGUUCUCUUUGCUUCAAGCUCUCUCUCCAGUGGUGCUGACCAAGGUUAGUGAACCCCUGCUCUUUGAGCUUCUAUGAAGGAAGGGAUUUUUGACUAUAUUUAUCUCCGUAAAACAAGGUCAGCGAGUACAGUUUCAUAAAAUCAUUAUGGAACAGCGACCGCGACGAAAAUCAAAACAAAUUGAUUUUUUGAGCGAGCUUGCGGAUCACAUUUUUCAUAAAAUUAUUUCUCUGUUAAAUAUUGAUGACGUUGCACGUGUUUCUACGUUGUCUAAGAGAUGCAGAAAGAAUUGCUUGUCAUCUCCAUUCUUGACCCUUAGUUUAGAAAAGAUCUAUAAUGAUAAAUUUUUUUAUAGGUUUUGCUUAUUUCUACAGCGGUUUUUGUACUUGCGUAAUGGGAUUGAUAUUCAUACUUUUAAAGUAAAAAUUUAUAGUCACUUUUUUUAUGAUGAUAUUGGAUUUCACAUUGGUGACUGGGUACUCGAGGCAAGCAGGCUCCAUGUUAAAAAGAUUUGUUUGAACUUGAUUAACUUUAACAUCUUUACUUUGCCUAGUGGUGUCUUGAAUUCUGCUUGUUUAAGAGAUUUGGAGGUGUGCUUGGGUCUCAAUGGCUUGCGUGCCCACCUCUUCAUCUGGGGGCUUCAGAAUUUGAAGUUGGUAGCUUUGCGUGUUUCACUUAAGUUUGAUGAGUGGAUUUCGAGCUGCAAGUCGCUGAAGAAGCUAUGCCUUGAUGUAGUUUCUGUUCAAAAUGGGCUCAACAUUAGUUCUUCAUCACUUGAAGACUUAAUACUUGAGGAUAUUGUUUCCAGUGCCCGUGAUUUCAAUAUCAAAGUUUCAGCGAGGAGACUUAAAAAUCUGCGUAUAUUUUGUCCGCCUGAUUUCAAACAUGAGGCCUUGGAUAAUGGAAUUAUUGGUAAAGUUCUUCGAUCAAUGCACCGGGUUUCAUCAAUGUCUAUACAUGACUGUUCUAUUAAGGGAAUUUCUUCGCAAGCAUUGCUGCCGGAAUUUUAUGACUUGCAUUCGUUGACUAUUAUUGGCACUGAUUUUGGCAACAAAACACCUUCUAUAGCGUCCUUACUCAAUUCAAUGCCACAUUUAAAUACUCUGAAAAUACAGGAAACUCACAAUGGCCUUUUUGAAGGGCAUUUCAUGUCUUUCUCAACAUCAUCACAGGAGAAGAUAUGUUAUACUGCAGAGUAUUGGGAGUCUCAAAAUCUGAAAUUUGUCCACUCAUUGAAAGAAUUAGAAGUGGAGAUUAAUGGAGAGCAGAAUGAGAUAGAGCUGAUCAAGUACCUGCUCAAAAAUGCAAAAGCAAUGAAAACAAUUUCCAUUCAUUAUUCACGUUAUGCAUGUUCUGUACCUCGUAGACUGUCUGAGAUUAGUAGAAAGAUCCAGCAGUUUGAAAUAGCUUCUUCCUCUGUUACCAUAUAUUUCUUCUACAGAGACGAGACUGAUUCCCAACACUGAUGCUUAUUUGAUGAAUUGCUUGGAUUUAGAAAAAGAAGCUUUUAUUGACUUCAAGAAUGAUAACAGGCUUUCUUCAUGGAAUGGAAGAAACUUCUGUAAAUGGUGGGGAAUAAGCUGCGAAAGCAAUGCAGGAGCUGUUAUUGCAGUUAACCCCCAUAACCCUUAUCCACAAAAUUUUUGAAUCUUCUGAUAGGUUAUCUGGUUCUUUCCACCUAAGCACUAGACCUCAAGUAAGAACAAUUUGUCAGGAAAAAUUCCCUGGUUCCUUGGAUCAACUAAGUAUGUUUUAGACAUUGCACCUAAAUUACAAAAAGCUCUCUGGAGAGCUUCCAUCAUCUUUCCGGAACUCAUGGCUUGGAAACACGGGAUCUUGGAAACAACAGAUUCCACCUUGGAUUGGAGAAGGUUUUGAAAGUCUGAAGAUUCUUAGCUUGAGGGGCAAGGCAUUCUCCAAAGAUCUUCUACCAGUUCUAUCAAAUUAUAGUUCAAUACAAGUCCUGGAACUAGCAGCAAAUCAGUUUUCUACUUUUAAUUACGAGUCCAAAAUAUAAAACCAUUAUCUGGUUGAAUCCCAUGUGAAGCUCAUAUGUCUACAUUUGAUGCAUCUUCUUUUUUCUAGAAAUCCAGGUCUUUUUGGUUUUCCACUUGCUGUAAAAUAUUGGGGUAAGGAUUCAGAUAAGUAGGCCCCUAGGUAAGGAUUCAGAUAAGUAAGCCCCUAAGGAUAAUAGUAGUGGUGAUAGCUUUUAUUUACAAGUUGUUUUACUUGUGUUGGAUCAGGAAUUACAGCAGGAAUUAUAGUUCCUUGUUUCAUAUUGGCAUUUAGAAAAAUCUUGGAAGCCUACCUUGAUGUUGUGGAUGAUGUUCUAGAAAGAAUACUAUUUAUUUUGUUGAAAUAUAGAACCAUGUAGCAGAGAACUAGAAGGCAACACCAGAGAACAUAAGAGUGUUUUCUUUCUUCAGUUUGUUUCCUCUAUCAUAGAUUACUUGUAAAAAUUAUAUUUCACACUUCGAAAAUGCAUGCCUCAUGUACUUAUUUUUAUUUUGACAGAAACCCUUUUAAUCGGAAAGGAAGAAAAAGUUUGUGAA